rnacentral:lncRNA from 1 species
GAUUUAUGAUUAUGUGUAUGUUGUAAUGUUUGAUUAUGUAGUCCAAGUGGGAGAUUGUUGGAAUUUUUAUGUGUGGACUUACAUAAUCAAUUUAAUAAUGUCAUAAAUCAGUGUUAUUUAUUUUUGCAUUGUGGUCCAUAAUGGGACUGGACACAUAUUGUUGCUUGAUUUUUUAUGGGCUCACCCUAAUUCACUUGACUGGCCCAUUAAGUCAAGUGGUGGUCCAAAUAAUGUGUGUGAUAUAUAUAUGAAUAUAUUUAUUUAUUUAUAUAUAUAUAUAAAAGAAAAGGAAGGGCUCUCUCU